UAGUGGCUAGAGGAGUUUAGAUUUGGCCAACGUGUCCAUCCCAACCCCCACCCCCCCUGCCAGCUCUACAAUGGUGGACUCGGGAGCUAUCUCCUGUCAGCGCCGUCUAGCAGAUCUCGAAGGGGUAGAGGUCGUCCCACCCUCGACGAGGUCGAAAUAACAGGGGAGCUUCCGGCUACUAAUCCAAAUUGGGUCGGGGCAGCGGGUGGAGACUUACCCAAUUUGACAGGACCGUGACGUUUGGCUUUGUGCCCUCAUCUCUAGCAGGGCUCCGGUCAGCAGCUCCGGCGAGCAGUUCUGGCGAGCUCCCACGGUUCGCAUUCUUCCUCGUGUGGAAGAAAAAUUCCCCGCAGUUCACCUGUACUUGCCGAAUAGGUUCUGGUCUCUGCCUCCCUCUUUUUCCUGCCUAAGAUCCCCCUUUCUCCUGGUCCUGGACCUGCUCAAGCGACCAAGUGGACUACACGACGCAUGGCCAACGGUGGUGCUCAGACGCAACACUUCAUUUUGUGUGUGUGUUCUGAAUUUUAGCUUAUUUUACAGGGAGGUUCAUUUGGGUCCUCGAUGGAGUACGGUUGGGUGCCGCAAUUUCUGAUUUCAUAUGAAAUUUUAUAUCUAGAUCUACAAACUUUUUAUGAACGAGUAUAUUGAAGAAAAAACAAUUAAUUUUUCUUUUCAAUAUUAAGAUUUUGGAAGUGUGCAGGAUCACUGCAUCACUGCAAAAAUGAACAUGACGAGACACCACGGCAAACACAGGAGGGGCUCCACCCCGAGCGCUCGUUCAAAAUUCUUUGCGUGCAAUUCGGUCGUUUCAGUAGCGUUUUGUUUGAAGUCUUGAAGUGGAGUUUGUUUUUGGGAGAGCUCCACUACUCGUUUUGUUUUCCGAUGGGUGUGUACAUGUUUGUGUGUAUGAUUGCUCUGUAGUUCGGGCAUUGCAUUCAUUCAAUUUUGUGGUGGUGCACAUGUAGUGCGGUGCUUGCACGAAGGAAGUUUUUCGUGGUUCCAUUUGUAAGAAACGUUGAUGCAGUAGACUUGACUUGUCUCA